CAAAACUUCACCGUAACGAUGACAACCAGCGAUUAAUCGGCGUUAAUAUACGACCCGAUUAGCAGCUUCCGGGAAACCAAAGUUUUUCGUUUCCGGGGGAAGUAUGGUUGCAAAGCUGAAACUUAAAGGAAUUGACGGAAGGGCACCACCAGGAGUGGAGCCUGCGGCUUAAUUUGACUCAACACGGGAAAACUCACCCGGCCCGGACACCGUAAGGAUUGACAGACUGAUAGCUCUUUCUUAAUUCGGUGGGUGGUGGUGCAUGGCCGUUCUUAGUUGGUGGAGCGAUUUGUCUGGUUAAUUCCGAUAACGAACGAGACUCUGGCCUAUUAAAUAGACGAGCUAUUAAUGAAGUAAGCUCGCUCUUCUUAGAGGGACAAGCGGCCUCUACCCGCAUGAAAUAGAACAAUAACGGGUGUGUGAUGCCCUUAUGUGUCGGGGGCUGCGCGCGCGCUACUGUGAAAAAAUCAGUGUGCGUCACCUCCUACUUAGGAACAGCCGGACCCCCCUAAAUUCUUCUUUGCUGGUUGGAAGAAGGAAUUGCUAUUAUUUCCCUUAGACGAAGACUUCCCAAUAGAUGCGCGUCAUAUCCUCUCGAUGAUGACGUCGCUGUCCGUUGUACACGCCGGCCGUCGCUACUACUUGUUGGAUGACGUGAUGACGUCUGAGGAACGAGGAAGAGGUGCUUGUGAUGACUGCUUUUUGCUGUAAUUAUUUGAUCCUACUACAUCAACAGAGAAGAAGUCGUCGCACGAUUUCUUCAGUCGAAGAUGCUGCAGGAUGAUCAGCGAGUACUCGCCGCUAAUACAUCUAGUCCCCUAUGAGAGUCAUACUACUACUCGUGCGCCGUCUUCAACAGCGUCCUAUAAUUUGUC
rnacentral:rRNA from 1 species